AUCCAGAGAGCUGAAAUCCCUUGAAUAAGGUCACAAGGCCAGGAGCUGGCAGGGCUGGGAUUUGAACCUGGCCAUCCGGCUCCAGUCACAGAUGGGUGCUGGAAGCUGAGCCAACACUGGGCCACCAGGCAAGUUGCAGACAGCUGUGGUGGGGUGUGAAGAGGAGGCAUGUUCUGCUUUUAUCAGCCAGACAGACGGCCCACGUAUGAACUGGAGGUGGUGGUGGGCUUCAUCUCUGACCCGGGCACAACUGACCUCAGCAAAGGUCUGGUACCAAGGUCAUUUCAGAACAUUGAGUAGAGUUCCACGUGCUAUACAGUAGGUCCUUAUUAGUUAUCUGUUUUACAUGUAGUAGUGUGUAUAUGUCAACUCCAAUCUUCCAAUUUUUCUCUCCCCUCCCUUUCCCCUUUGGUAACCAUAAGUUUGUUUUCUACAUCUGUGACUCUAUUUCUGUUUUGUAAAUAAGUUCAUUUGUACCAUUUUUUAAGAUUCCAUAUGUAAGUGAUAUCAUAUGAUCUUUGUCUUUGUCUGACUUCUUUCACUCAGUAUGACAGUCUCUAGGUCCAUCCAUGUUGCUGCAAAUGGCACUAUUUCAUUUUUCAUGGCCGAGUAAUAUUCCAUUGUAUACAUGUACCACAUCUUCUUUAUCCAUUCCUCUGUCGAUGGGCAUUUAGGUUGCUUCGUCCUGGCUAUUGUAA